CAUCUAGUGACAAGCUAUCAACAUUAUUCAUUUUAAAAAACCUUGACCUCAAGAAAUAAUGCUGACAUUGCUUAAUUGGUAUAAUUCAAGAUUCAUGAGGCGGGCUACAUUUCAUCGAUACCAGAUUUAGUACGUCACCCAUAUCAUUUCAAUAUUGGCCAAAAAACUAAUGAUCUAUACACAUAAAAACAUAAAAAAAUGUCAAUAAGAACACGUAUUAUAAAAUGUACAAAAAAAAACAAAAACAUGCAAAGCGAUGAAAAUGAUUUAUAGAAUAGGGUAGAAUAAACAUCUAUCGAAGUAUCAUUUCAUAUAAUUAAUAAUCUUUUUCUUAAAACAUAACGCAUCUAGCCGAUCAUGUUUGAGAUAAAGUAAAAGGUAUAACACAGAUGCAGUUAAGUCUACCGUAUAUCUUGACCUACAUCUAGUAAUUGACAACAAAACUGUAAGACAAAAGAGAUGAUUUUAUCAUACAAAUUAUGAACUUUCAAUGUCUAUGUAGCAACAUUCCAGCAGCGCCUUUAUACUGAGUAUAUAUCCCUCAGUUGAUACGAUAUUCAAGGAACCGAAUUUCCUAUAUCUUGAUUUCAUUGUAGAGGAUCGCUGUUUACAAGGAAGAUUUUAAACCAAUGGUUUUAAUUGAAGUGGAACUCGCCCCUUUUGUAAAAUUUACGGACGCAAUCACGAGAUGGUUGAACUUUAUGGAAUAUCUGUUUCAC
rnacentral:lncRNA from 1 species